AUUGAACGCUGGCGGCAGGCCUAACACAUGCAAGUCGAGCGGAUGAAGGGAGCUUGCUCCUGGAUUCAGCGGCGGACGGGUGAGUAAUGCCUAGGAAUCUGCCUGGUAGUGGGGGAUAACGUCCGGAAACGGGCGCUAAUACCGCAUACUUCCUGAGGGAGAAAGUGGGGGAUCUUCGGACCUCACGCUAUCAGAUGAGCCUAGGUCGGAUUAGCUAGUUGGUGGGGUAAAGGCCUACCAAGGCGGCGAUCCGUAACUGGUCGGAGAGGAGGAUCAGUCACACGGGAACUGAGCCACGGUCCAGACUCCUACGGGAGGGAGCAGUGGGGAAUAUUGGACAAUGGGCGAAAGCCUGAUCCAGCCAUGCCGCGUGUGUGAAGAAGGUCUUCGGAUUGUAAAGAACUUUAAGUUGGGAGGAAGGGCAGUAAGUUAAUACCUUGCUGUUUUGACGGUACCAACAGAAUAAGCACCGGCUAACUUCGUG
rnacentral:rRNA from 1 species